rnacentral:rRNA from 1 species
AGUCAUAUGCUUGUCUCAAAGAUUAAGCCAUGCAUGUCUAAGUAUAAGCAAUUUAUACAGUGAAACUGCGAAUGGCUCAUUAAAUCAGUUAUCGUUUAUUUGAUAGUACCUUUACUACUUGGAUAACCGUGGUAAUUCUAGAGCUAAUACAUGCUAAAAAUCCCGACUGUUUGGAAGGGAUGUAUUUAUUAGAUAAAAAAUCAAUGCUCUUUGAGCUCUUUGAUGAUUCAUAAUAACUUUUCGAAUCGCAUGGCCUUGUGCUGGCGAUGGUUCAUUCAAAUUUCUGCCCUAUCAACUUUCGAUGGUAGGAUAGUGGCCUACCAUGGUUUCAACGGGUAACGGGGAAUAAGGGUUCGAUUCCGGACGAGGGAGCCUGAGAAACGGCUACCACAUCCAAGGAAGGCAGCAGGCGCGCAAAUUACCCAAUCCCGAUCACGGGGAGGUAGUGACAAUACAUAACGAUACAGGGCCCUUUCGGGUCUUGUAAUUGGAAUGAGUACAAUGUAAAUACCUUAACGAGGAACAAUU